GUGCUCACUUCAGCAGCACAUAUACUAAAAUUGGAACAAUACAGAGAAGAUUAGCCUGGCCCCUAUACAAGGAUGACACAAAGAUUUAUGAAGCCUUCUAUAAUAUU
ensembl:snRNA U6 U6 spliceosomal RNA